rnacentral:piRNA from 1 species
UGCUACCUGUUGGUCUUAGAGGAACUGGA